GGAAAAGUCCACACACUGCGAGGUGGAUAAUUCAUGGGAAUUACAACAGCGGGUCUUGAGGAAUCUCCCUGGAGAGAUGGGGCUCCUGCAGAGGUGCUCGUGGCUAUGUAGAGUACGUCUUUCCUGAGGUUCUUCUUUACCUGUGGAACAGCCUGGUGCGUGAGUAACUGAUGGAUCUACUCUGACCCGUGUUCAGUUUAUUCCUACGCAGAGGACCCCUUUCCAAGAGGGCACUGAGCAGGAGGGAAGUGAGCUUUGGGUGCGUCAGUCAGGUGAGACCUGGAAGAGGCUGCUCAGCAAACACACAGAAUAAUAAGCAUGUUAGUGCUUGUGGGUCCCCAUGAGAAGAGGGCCAUGUGUACAGGAGCAGUUGGAAAGGAAGGGAGAGCUGUAAGGACACACAUGGCCCACCAGCAGAUGAGGAACUAGAGAAACAGGAGAGACCCAUGGCCAGAGUCUUCCCUGGGACCUGGGGCAUUACCAGGCAGGUUCCUGACAUGGAGUUCACACUGGUGAGUCUGGAGCAGGUGGGCAUGAGCCCCAGGGAGGCCUGCAGAGCACCCCAUUCACGGUGUGGGGAUCUAUGGGCCACCAGCUGGGUUGUAACCAGCUGUCUGGAGAGAAGUUGAGGAUGCUUCAGGUGGAUCUCUUCUUCAACAACCACCUCAGGGAACCGAGAGGGUACAGAGCUAGCAACUGCAUCAAGGACUCCUGAACCCUGCUUCUGGUAUGAGAAAGUCUAACUUCUAGACAAAGUGGAUGUUGAAGCAACACGACACUAUGAAAUUCACCACUUGCUUCAUUCCUUUGGGCUCGCAGCAUUUUCAUCUGUAAAAGACCGCAACAUGCUGAAGCAAACGUGAAGGCCACAUCCCAAGUCUCUCUGCAUGCACUGUAGCUCUCGGGAAGAAAUAUGAGAAUAAAAU
rnacentral:lncRNA from 1 species